UGUUCCAUUUUAAGCUCUUGAGUUAUCGAUUACAUUUCGAUAGAUUUAGUCUUUCAACACUGCUUUAAGCGGCUGCUGUUGCUGCUUUAAAGACGGAACUUUCCGCAAAUAUUACCGUAAAUACUAUUGGUGCUAGGCCAAAAUAUUUAUCUCUGUCAUUUGAAGUUGAGAGUUAAACUUCUCCCAAAAACCAACCAAAAAAAACGUGAAUCAACUACGUCUUUCAAAUAGAUCUUAUACGAUCACGCCUAAUGAUUCAUUUGAAUGGAUCGAACAAUUUCAAAUGUAGUUUUAAUGAGUCUCUCGCGGCACAUAUUUAUUUAUACCGCAUCAAGUUCAAGUUCGGCUCGUGGCCUUUCCACUUGCCAUUGCCAAAGAAUCGCAGUAGUAGCCGUAGUUUCUUUCCCUCUCAGUGAACCAAAAAAACAGAUCACCAGCCCCCUGACCGGAUUUACCUAUAUUAUAUACAAAUCGGUAUAACUACGAGUUGAAUUUUCCACAUUCACUGACGCCUGAGUGGAGAAUAGAGCGAGAAAGUUUUUACAAAAAUAAAAAUAGUAAUCGUAAGAAAUAUGUAUUCAGCAAGGAUCUUUUGGAAUUAUUCUUAAACAGGACGCCAAAUCGUGAUAAAAUGUAAACGAUAGACAAUUUGAAGUUACUGACAUAAGCAACAAAUUGUGAGCGAAGGGCGAGAAAACGCUUUAAGCCACACACAAUCACAAUAACAAUAACAUAAACUAAAAAAAAAAAAGACAGACAGAAACCGUAA